rnacentral:rRNA from 1 species
CUACGGGCCGCAGCAGCGGGGAAUAUUGCACAAUGGGCGCAAGCCUGAUGCAGCAACGCCGCGUGAGGGAUGAAGGCCUUCGGGUUGUAAACCUCUUUUAGCAGGGAAGAAGCGAAAGUGACGGUACCUGCAGAAAAAGCACCGGCUAACUACGUGCCAGCAGCCGCGGUAAUACGUAGGGUGCAAGCGUUGUCCGGAAUUAUUGGGCGUAAAGAGCUCGUAGGCGGUUUGUCACGUCUGCUAUGAAAAUCCAAGGCUCAACCUUGGACUUGCAGUGGGUACGGGCAGGCUAGAGUGCGGUAGGGGAGAGGGGAAUUCCUGGUGUAGCGGUGGAAUGCGCAGAUAUCAGGAGGAACACCAAUGGCGAAGGCACAUCUCUGGGCCGUAACUGACGCUGAGGAGCGAAAGCGUGGGGAGCGAACAGGAUUAGAUACCCUUGUAGUC